rnacentral:rRNA from 1 species
UACAGAGGUCCCAAGCGUUGUUCGGAUUCAUUGGGCGUAAAGGGUGCGUAGGCGGCGCGGUAAGUCGGGUGUGAAAUCUCGGAGCUUAACUUCGAAACUGCAUUCGAUACUGCCGUGCUUGAGGACUGGAGAGGAGACUGGAAUUUACGGUGUAGCGGUGAAAUGCGUAGAUAUCGGGAGGAAUACCUAUGGCGAAAGCAGGCUACUGGACCGUCACUGACUCUGAUCUGCGAAAGCUAGGGGAGCAAACAGG